AUGAGCUCACCAAACUCCCAAGACACGACUGACGACGCUGGAGUCGUGGAUAUUGCAGUGAAGACCAAGAACUGGGUCCAAUUCGAGGAGGAACCGGCUCCUAAGCUGCCUGAAGAAACUCUCCCAGCGACGAUAAAACCUGAAACAGUAACUGUUAGUAUUGAUAAGAUUGUCAAGGAAGCCGAACAAAAAGAUAUCGCUAGUAUUCCUACUGCUAGUGUUCCUGCUGGAGCAGUAGCUGGUAAUUCAAACAAGAAAAACGAGUACAGCGGAGCUGUAAUAGCAACCGAGUCCGUCCAAAUAAAUUUAGAUAGAUCAGGACUCAGCAGAUCUAUUUCUAAUGAGAGUCCUGAAGCUAAUGUUCCUUCGGAUGUUAAAGUUUCCGAUCCUAAGAGCGCCUCUCUCAAAACUAUUGACCUCAGGGACACUUCUAAUGGUCGCAGUAAUGUUAAUAAUGUUAUCAGCACGCCUAUUGGCAACAUCAGGAGAGGAUUCGCUAAUGGUGACACUAUUGUCACACUACUACCGGUUAAUACGAGAUGGCCAUGGAUUACUCCGGCUAAAUUUCGACCUGAAUUAGUUCCGGAAGAACUCAUGGCUCAAGGUCUUACGUUAACGGUGGAAGAUUACGUUCACGUUAUGGAGUUGCUGGUCAACGAUGUGCGUUUUAAUAUGUACAAUAUUUGUUAUAAGCGUAUCCUUGUGCUGUGGAUUUUCACAGCAUUUGUUAUUCUACUUGGUCUGUUGUUUUCUGGUCUGGCUGGACUUACACUAUUUGGCCUUGGUAUUAUGUGGUUAAUACUAAAUGCAGCAGCUAUAUUUUUAUGUAUGUUUAUAAAGAUAAAACUAAAUCAUAAUUUAGAAAAAUGUAUGGCUCAAGUAAACAAGCAUUUGUUACGUCACAAGAUAAUUGUCGGUCUAGAUGACAGAGGGAAAAUAUCUUGUCAUAAAGUUAAUUUAUGCUUCAUCUACUUUGACACUACAGACUGCGUAAAAAAACUCCAAGAAGUUAUCGAGAGAGAGGAACGCGAGGGCAGAGUCAUUGGAGGUGAAGAAACUAAUGAAAUGCAACGACGUAGACAGGAAUUGCAGCAGCGGAUGGACAUUGAUGAUACCGAUAUUGUCAUACAAGGAAGCACUACCACCAGGUUAUCACGCAAACAGGAGCGGGCGGAAAUGCUGUUACUGAGGUACGCGUCCAGGUGGACACGUCAAUUUGUCCGUCACAGACUCGACCUGGUAGUAGACUCCCAGGAACGGAAUAGAGCCUACGUUGGACCAGCUAUUCCUCCGCGUCACUGCGUCUCCGCCCGUUGUCCUUGCCAGUUUAUCGAGGAUCAUCUCAAAUACAAACCCCGAGCUGGACAAGUGGAGAAAGUAUCUGUUCGAUCUUACACUCAUGCUUUAAAUACUUGAAUAAAAAAACGAAAUAAUUUAAAUAAAUAUUAUUAAAUGCACAAGGGAGUGCGCUAUCCGCCAGGUUUUACGUGGUGUGCUUACCUUAGCGAUCCUGCUAUUAGGUUUGACCCGACAUACAGCCCAAGUCCGUGCAAUAGAGUUUGAUAAGUUUUUAUUUUAAACUGUUAAUAUUUCGCCUUUUAUUUUAUUUUUAUUAAAUUAUUGAUUUAUACAUAAAAUAAUUAAUUGAUAUUGGAAUUGUUUGUUUAUAUUUUGAAAUGUAGUGUCAUAUGAAGCAAUUGUCGUAUACGUUUAAAUGAUUAUUGUAGAGGAGAGUGUGCUUCGAUAUUUUGUCAGAGUGUGAAUGACAGCCCUGGAUGUUGUACAUUUAAUUGAACAUAUCGCAGUAAUUAAGCUGGGCCCCACUAAAUUAUUAUUAAUUACUUAACUUUAAUUACCUAACGUAACUAUUGGACUAAAUGUUGAUAACAGUUACGUUGUAUCUGUUUGAUGUAAAAAAAUUGUGCCUUAAAUGUCUGAUCAACAGUGUGAACACUUAUUUUGUAAUUGUUUACUAAUCCGUCCAUAUUCGAUUUUUUCAAUCAUUCCAAUCAAAUUAUGUGCAGUACAAAUUGUGUAAUUGUUAAUGAUUUGAAUAAAUACGUAUGAAAAUUCUAA